rnacentral:lncRNA from 1 species
AGCAAAAAACCCAGCUAACUUUACUGCUUUCCCUGCUGCAGUUGAUUCUGAAGUGAGGUAUGAAGUGUGCUUUUAAAUGUGCAGCUGACUUGCAUGCACAAGUGGAAUCUCUGAUUUAAAAGCUUGGCUUGCCCCAAGAUUUCGUCUUGGGUCAGAGGCAGCCCUUCUAGAAACAACUUGACUUUUUGGCUCCAUGUGGGCAGAAAAAGAAGUUCUAUAGCUUUGGGCAACUCAGACAUCCUCAGUUUGUCCCACAUGCACAGAAAUGGUGGUGAAGUGAUAUCAUCUCCAUUUGACAUACAAGGAAGGAGAGGA